CCUACGGGUGACAGCAGUCGAGAAUCAUUCACAAUGGGGGAAACCCUGAUGCUGCGACGCCGCGUGGGGGAAUGAAGGUCUUCGGAUUGUAAACCCCUGUCAUGUGGGAGCAAAUUAAAAAGAUAGUACCACAAGAGGAAGAGACGGCUAACUCGGUGCCAGCAGCCGCGGUAAUACAACGGUCUCAAGCGUUGUUCGGAAUCACUGGGCGGAAAGCGUGCGUAGGCUGUUUCGUAAGUCGUGUGUGAAAGGCGCGGGCUCAACCCGCGGACGGCACAUGAUACUGCGAGACUAGAGUAAUGGAGGGGGAACCGGAAUUCUCGGUGUAGCAGUGAAAUGCGUAGAUAUCGAGAGGAACACUCGUGGCGAAGGCGGGUUCCUGGACAUUAACUGACGCUGAGGCACGAAGGCCAGGGGAGCGAAAGGGAUUAGAUACCCCAGUAGUC
rnacentral:rRNA from 1 species